CCCUUAGAUGUCCUGGGCUGCACGCGCGCUACACUGACGCACGCAACAGGUGCCUGCUCCGAGAGGACUGGGUAAUCAUUUGAGUGUGCGUCGUGAUGGGGAUAGAAUAUUGUAAUUAUUACUCUUCAACGAGGAAUUCCUAGUAAGCGCCAGUCAGCAGCUUGCGCUGAUUACGUCCCUGCCCUUUGUACACACCGCCCGUCGCUCCUACCGAUGGGUGAUCCGGUGAAUGAUUCGGACUUCAGCGGCUCCCCUGGGGUGCGCCGGAGAAAGUUUUGUGAACCUUAUCACUUGGAGGAAGGGGAAGUCGUAACA
rnacentral:rRNA from 1 species